CACUUUUGACUCUUCCUUUUUUUUAUUUUUUUUAUUUUUCAUAAUAUUUUAACUUUCCCUAAUUUUCGACCUAUCACUAACCAUGUCCUCAUCGUAUUCAACUCUCCCUUUUUCCUUUCUCCUAAUCUUACUGGCUGAUUUAUGGCAGAAUUUGUUAAGUUUUUAAAUGGAAUGAUUCCUCGAUGCUUAUCUUCCUUUUCAGCUCAUGUGUGUCAAUGGAAGGAUACUUGGAUGCUUAUAAUCCAAAUUGCUUUGUCUCGCCUACUGGAAUAUUCAUCAAUUGAAUUGAGGUGAGGAUCUAUUUGUACUAUAUUCUUGGAUAGUCAUAUUAAAGUUAACAUCAC
rnacentral:lncRNA from 1 species